rnacentral:rRNA from 1 species
AUUGAACGCUGGCGGCAUGCCUAACACAUGCAAGUCGAACGAGUGGCGGACGGGUGAGUAAUUUCUGGGAACCUGCCUGAUGGAGGGGGAUAACUACUGGAAACGUUAGCUAAUACCGCAUACCAUCAGAUGUGCCCAGAUGGGAUUAGCUAGUUGGUGGGGUAACGGCUCACCAAGGCGACGAUCCCUAGCUGGUCUGAGAGGAUGACCAGCCACACUGGAACGGAGACACGGUCCAGACUCCUACGGGAGGCAGCAGUGGGGAAUAUUGCACAAUGGGCGAAAGCCUGAUGCAGCCAGGCCGCGUGUAUGAAGAAGGCCUUCGGGUUGUAAAGUACUUUCAGCGGGGAGGCGUUACCCGCAGAAGAAGCACCGGCUAACUACGUGCCAGCAGCCGCGGUAAUAC